AGUGAACGCUGGCGGUGGGCCUAACACAUGCCAGUCGAACGGCAGCACAGUAAGAGCUUGCUCUUACGGGUGGCGAGUGGCGGACGGGCGAGGAAUACAUCGGAAUCUACUUUUUCGUGGGGGAUAACGUAGGGAAACUUACGCUAAUACCGCAUACGACCUACGGGUGAAAGCAGGGGAUCUUCGGACCUUGCGCGAUUGAAUGAGCCGAUGUCGGAUUAGCUAGUUGGCGGGGUAAAGGCCCACCAAGGCGACGAUCCGUAGCUGGUCUGAGAGGAUGAUCAGCCACACUGGAACUGAGACACGGUCCAGACUCCUACGGGAGGCAGCAGUGGGGAAUAUUGGACAAUGGGCGCAAGCCUGAUCCAGCCAUACCGCGUGGGUGAAGAAGGCCUUCGGGUUGUAAAGCCCUUUUGUUGGGAAAGAAAAGCAGCAGGUUAAUACCCCGCUGUUCUGACGGUACCCAAAGAAUAAGCACCGGCUAACUUCGUG
rnacentral:rRNA from 1 species